CCUACGGGAGGCAGCAGUGGGGGAUAUUGCACAAUGGGGGGAACCCUGAUGCAGCGACGCCGCGUGGGUGAAGGAGUGCUUCGGCAUGUAAAGCCCUAUCGGCAGGGAAGAAGCAAGACGGUACCUGACUAAGAAGCCCCGGCUAACUACGUGCCAGCAGCCGCGGUAAUACGGAGGGGGCGAGCGUUAUCCGGAUUCACUGGGUGUAAAGGGAGCGUAGACGGGCAUGCAAGCCAGGGGUGAAAGCCCGGGGCCCAACCCCGGGACUGCCCUUGGAACUGGGCGGCUAGAGUGCGGAAGGGGCAGGCGGAAUUCCUGGUGUAGCGGUGAAAUGCGUAGAUAUCAGGAGGAACACCGGCGGCGAAGGCGGCCUGCUGGACCGCGACUGACGUUGAGGCUCGAAAGCGUGGGGAGCGAACAGGAUUAGAUACCCCGGUAGUC
rnacentral:rRNA from 1 species